UUAACGUUAACAGAAGUAAUGUUACCUGGUGUAGCAGGUAGACCUUCUCUGCCUGCUAUUUCCCCAUAGCACCUGGAAGUGCUAAUGAAGGGGGGGGGGGCAUAGGCAUUUGAUCAAUCUGGCACCAGUGGAGUGCUACUUAAGAGGGGCAGCAGCCAGUAGCAAUAUAGACUCCACUGGUGUAGCCCC